rnacentral:rRNA from 1 species
AUUGAACGCUGGCGGCAUGCUUUACACAUGCAAGUCGAACGGCAGCGCGGGCUUCGGCCUGGCGGCGAGUGGCGAACGGGUGAGUAAUGCAUCGGAACGUGCCCAGUAGUGGGGGAUAGCCCGGCGAAAGCCGGAUUAAUACCGCAUACGACCUGAGGGUGAAAGCGGGGGACCGAAAGGCCUCGCGCUAUUGGAGCGGCCGAUGUCGGAUUAGCUAGUUGGUGGGGUAAAGGCUUACCAAGGCGACGAUCCGUAGCUGGUCUGAGAGGACGACCAGCCACACUGGGACUGAGACACGGCCCAGACUCCUACGGGAGGCAGCAGUGGGGAAUUUUGGACAAUGGGGGCAACCCUGAUCCAGCCAUGCCGCGUGCGGAAAGAAGGCCUUCGGGUUGUAAACCGCUUUUGUUCGGGAAGAAAUCCUCUGGGCUAAUACCCCGGGGGGAUGACGGUACCGGAAGAAUAAGCACCGGCUAACUACGUG